rnacentral:rRNA from 1 species
UACGUAGGGCGCAAGCGUCGUCCGGAAUUAUUGGGCGUAAAGAGCUCGUAGGCGGCUUGUCACGUCGGGUGUGAAAGCCCGGGGCUUAACCCCGGGUCUGCAUUCGAUACGGGCUGGCUGGAGUGUGGUAGGGGAGAUCGGAAUUCCUGGUGUAGCGGUGAAAUGCGCAGAUAUCAGGAGGAACACCGAUGGCGAAGGCAGGUCUCUGGGCAUUAACUGACGCUGGAGGAGCGAAAGCAUGGGGAGCGAACAGG